rnacentral:rRNA from 1 species
GGGUUGUGAGGUUAAGCGACUAAGCGUACACGGUGGAUGCCCUGGCAGUCAGAGGCGAUGAAGGACGUGCUAAUCUGCGAUAAGCGCCGGUAAGGUGAUAUGAACCGUUAUAACCGGCGAUUUCCGAAUGGGGAAACCCAGUGUGACUCGUCACACUAUCAUUAACUGAAUCCAUAGGUUAAUGAGGCGAACCGGGGGAACUGAAACAUCUAAGUACCCCGAGGAAAAGAAAUCAACCGAGAUUCCCCCAGUAGCGGCGAGCGAACGGGGAGGAGCCCAGAGCCUGAAUCAGCAUGUGUGUUAGUGGAAGCGUCUGGAAAGGCGCGCGAUACAGGGUGACAGCCCCGUACACAAAAGCGCAUGUGCUGUGAGCUCGAUGAGUAGGGCGGGACACGUGGUAUCCUGUCUGAAUAUGGGGGGACCAUCCUCCAAGGCUAAAUACUCCUGACUGACCGAUAGUGAACCAGUACCGUGAGGGAAAGGCGAAAAGAACCCCGGCGAGGGGAGUGAAAAAGAACCUGAAACCGUGUACGUACAAGCAGUGGGA